rnacentral:rRNA from 1 species
UUAAGUGACGAUAGCCUAGGAGAUACACCUGUACCCAUACCGAACACAGUAGUUAAGCCCUAGAACGCCGGAAGUAGUUGGGGGUUGCCCCCUGUGAGAUAUGGAAGUCGCUUAGC